rnacentral:misc_RNA from 1 species
GCCACGACCGCCGCCGGAGGAGGGUGUGUGCCGCUCCACAUGGACGUAAAUACUGACACAAUGCAGGAAAGUGGCCAAGCCAGGUGUUUAUGGGAGCCAGAUGUGAGACGGAAAACGAAAAUGGACGCAUUCCGUGAGGCUGCGAACAAAAAAUACAGCCUGCGGCUUGGAAAUUACCAAGACCUCUACAAGUGGUCUGUGGACCAGUAUUCAGAUUUCUGGGAGACAUGGUGGGAGUUUGGAGGAUUUCUGUACUCAUCACCUCCUACCCAAGUCGUUGAUACUUCUCUCAACAUAACGCAAAUACCACGCUGGUUUUCUGGUGCCAAGCUGAACUUUGCUGAAAAUCUUCUUCGGUUUCGUGAUGAUCGUGUUGCUAUAUAUGCUACAGGAGAAGGACAGCAAGGCAUAACCACAGUCACAUAUGAGCAGCUGUAUAAGCGUGUUGGUUUGUAUUCAAGAGCACUUAAGGGCCAUGGUGUAAAGAAUGGGGAUCGUGUGGUGGGUUAUGUGCCCAAUUGCCCUGCUUCCAUUGAGGCCAUGCUGGGUACAGCAUCUUUAGGUGCGGUGUGGAGCUCAACAUCCCCAGACUUUGGUGUUAUGGGUGUUUUGGAACGGUUCACACAAAUAGAACCAAGCAUAUUGUUUUCUGUUGAAGCUGUGGUUUAUAACGGUAAAGUUCAUGACCAUCUCAACAAGGUCAAGAAAGUGACGGCUAGUUUGAAGCAUCUGAAAAAGGUUGUCAUAAUUCCAUUUGUUCACAAGAGGAAUGAGAUUGAUAUAUCUGAUAUUACCAAUGGCAUAUUCCUAGAAGAUUUCUUAGCUGAUUGGGAGAGUGAUGAAGAAACAGAAUUUGAGCAGGUUCCCUUCCAUCACCCUCAGUUUAUUAUGUUUUCUUCUGGGACGACGGGUAUCCCCAAGUGCAUGGUUCACUCUGUUGGGGGAACUCUUAUUCAGAUUGCAAAAGAGCAUGUGUUGCAUUGCAACCUCUCCCGGGAUGAUGUCUUCACUUACUACACCACGACUGGUUGGAUGAUGUGGAACUGGCUAGUGGUGGGCUUGUUCUCUGGGUGUUCUCUGUUCUUGUAUGAUGGAUCUCCCCUUUUGCCCACUCCCAGUGUGCUCUGGGAUCUGGUUGAUAAAUUAGGAGUCACAGUACUUGGAACAGGUGCUAAAUGGUUGGCUGUUUUAGAAGAAAAGGGAGUAAAACCCCGGGAAUCACAUAAUUUGUCAUCGCUGCGAGCCAUACUCUCCACUGGUUCUCCACUAUCCCCACAUUCCUUCCACUAUGUUUACAAUAACAUUAAACAAGAUGUUAUGUUGGGAUCUAUUACUGGUGGCACAGACAUUAUAUCUUGCUUCAUGGGCAGCAACCCCAGUCUUCCCGUGUAUGAAGGAGAGAUUCAGGGACGAAACUUGGGCAUGGCUGUUGAAGCGUGGGGUGAGGGCUGUCAGCCUGUGUACGACACCCGAGGGGAGCUGGUCUGCACCAAACCAUUCCCUUCCAUGCCAACGCAUUUCUGGAAUGACGAUGGUGGCAUCAAAUAUACAAAAGCUUAUUUUGCAAAGUAUUCCCACACCUGGACUCAUGGAGAUUAUAUCAUGAUAAACUCAAAAACUGGAGGAAUAAUCAUGUUAGGACGAAGUGAUGGCACUCUCAAUCCAAAUGGAGUCAGAUUCGGCAGUGCAGAAAUAUACAAUAUUGUUGAGCAAUUUGAAGAGGUGAGUGAUAGUGUGUGUGUGGGCCAGAGGAAUGCUGCUGGGGAAGAACGAGUUGUGUUGUUCCUGAAGCUUCACCUACACGCAGAACUCGGUCAAGAACUUACACGGCGUAUUGUAGUGGCCAUUCGCUCGGAGCUCUCUGCCAGACAUGUUCCGGCUCUUAUUCUUCCCAUCAUGGAAAUUCCGUACACAGUGAGUGGAAAGAAAGUGGAAGUGGCUGUGAGGCAGAUGAUCCAAGGAGAGACCGUCACAAACAGGGCUGCACUCUCCAAUCCUGACUCUUUGGACCUUUAUGCCAACAUACCACAACUACAGGCUUGGUGAGAGCCUUCUGCAUACACAAGAAUGUGACUUCAUUUUGGUGAACUAGCUUGAAUUACGGUACUAAAGUUUGCCUUGGCUGCAGUAUCGAGGGACUUCAGGUAUAACUUAGGAUCAAAGAUACUGCCAAGGUAAGUAUUGAAUGACCCAAUACUGUAGCUAACUACUGCUGACCGUCAGCAAGGAUAGCAUCAACACUACAACAAAGGGCCCCCAACCUAACCUCUUCACAUAUUAUCCUGACAGCUCAGGCAGCAGGUUAUAUGGAUAGGUUGAGAUAAGGCCUUUCAGUUAAGUGGCAUGUACAAGUAUUAUGCAUCCAGUGUGUGUGUGUUGAUAGGCCCCUUGUGUGUCUGGACUUUGACCGGUGUCCAAAGUUAUUUUCUCGGCACCCAGCAGCUCAUGCUUUUCAGUAGAGCUGAUUUACCUCUUGAGUUUCCCAAUGAAUUUGUGGUUCCUUUUGGUAAUUUGGUCCACAACUUGGACAUUUGAGCUGUACACAUGUUGUUAACUGUUGGUGCUUUCAAUUCUGGGUCAGAAGUUCACCAGCAGUGGUGUUCUCCUCUUGAGAUGACCAUUAUAUGCAUGACUGCUUGAUUUUAUACAGUGUAUACUGUCACUAUAUUUUACCAAUUACUGGGGGCUACAAAAAGUUGGGUGGUGCACUUAACAAAAGGAAAUGUUUGUAUAAACCUUCUAACUCCAGUAAUAUAGACAGUAUCAUAAAAUAGAAAGUAGAGUCGAGCUGUGUGGAGAGGUUGUUGGGUACUGCCACCUGGUGACCACAUUAGUAGGCCAAAUGAACAAAUCCACAAGGGCCGUGACGAGGAUUCAAACCUGCGUCCAGGAGCAUCCCAUUACAGAGCAGGAGUUACAUUAGUAAGCCAUUUGGUAAAUAAAAAGAGGGCAUGGGUUGGUUAUAUUUUUUAUGCCAAGGUGUGCAUGGAAAGGUUUUGAUUUUUAUGAUAAUAUACUUUCUCUACACACACUGUGCUGGAUUUGAGUAUUCCUGUCUUCCUGGCACCAGAUUAAUGCAGUUAGAAUAAUUUGAAAAUUUCUCCAUUGCAUCAGUGUGAUAUGUCAAUCUAUCCUGGCUGUGUCAGAUCCAAACCAUAAGUCAGUAGGAUAUCGUCUUACAAAGCAGCUGUGUAUACUGCUCGGAAGAAAGGUCUUUUCAUAUACUUUAUAUUCAAAGCCUGAUAUCUUUUUGUUUACCCUGUAUUGCAGCUAUUUGCAUAUUCAGACUUUACAUGGUAUUUUAUUAAAUCACUGCUAACAACAAAUUUAUGAACAUAAAUGGCAAUUAUUAUAUUGUAUUACUGAAUAUUCCAACUCCUGGUGUCAUUUACUUGCUACAUUUUGUACUACUAAUCUUGAAUUAUUGGGUGAUCUGUAGUACAUACUAUAUUGAUGCUUCGAUUAUCACAAGUAGGCGACUGAAAAGUUCCAAUCUGCUUAAAUUUUUUGUUUAAGUAUGGAAAGAAAAGGCAAAGGAAUUGUUGCCUUUUUAUUCUUUCUUAAGUAAUGCGGUUGGUACACACUGCUGUUAAUUGGGUGUGAGGAAAUGGUCAUCUGGUAUAUACUGUACCAUAUACUGCAAAUGGUUGUGAAGGAUAUUUAGACAUGAAGGACAAGGGGGUAAAAGAAACAUGAAAUUUCUUACUUCUAGUUGUUCUUCCUCUAUUUUAUAAUGCCCUAAAUCUACUCAUCUUCUACUCCCAUGAAUAAAUUCUGCAUAGAUCAGAAGUUUAAACUUGCCUUGAAAUUAUUUUGAAGGAAUGAUGAUAAUAUUUAGUGAAACCAGUAAAAUGUCAAAGAAAUGUACAAUUCAAGAUUGUAGUCAGUUUAGACAUUUUACCUAGAUUAAUUUAGACACUUUGAGGCUGGGAAGGAGGCUACCCAUGUUUGCUCAAAUGGCAUCAUUUGCAUGUGAUAAAGCAAACCGAAUUUGUUAUACCAAGAAAUAAAUCUGAUCAUCUUAUUCAUCACAUUGAGAUAUACAGAAGAUUGAAAGUGGCAACAUUGAGAGGGCGCUGUUGUAUUUAUUUCAAAAGUUUACAAUAAAAGUAGGCUGAUGAUACAUACUUCCUCAGGCAAUCAACCUAUUCUUCUAUUCAUACUGUACCUUUGUGUACAUAUUGAAUUAAAAGAAAAAUGGAAAAGAAUCUACAGCACAGUAGUGCAAACCCAUCUCUAUUGUACAAAAAGAUAGAAAUCUAAAAACGAAAAAUUUUCAAGUACGUAUUUGUUCUCUGAAAAUUAUAAUAAAAUGUAACCUAACCUAGGCUUAAGGUAUGUAUUCCUAUAUUAGGUAAUGUGAGGCCUAGGUUACUGUAAGUUGUAAGUUAGGUAAGUAAUUGAUUUUUUUUUUUUUUUACUUUUGUCCUAAAUAUAUAUCUUAUUUUUUUGUUAAUAUAGUAUGUUGUUUAGUUAAGAAAAUAUAUAUAUACUGUAUAUGAGUUUUCAGUAUGUACAUAAAGGUGUAGCAUUAACAUUGGGAUGAGUUGAGGUGAUGGACAUAAUGUAGACGAAUGUUAUGAGUAAACUAGCCAUGAAUGACAAAAGGGAAUGAUGAUGAUGUUCUAGGUUUAACUACGUGAAACAAAAGUUCCAAGUAGCACAGGCUAUGGUGAGUCCAUAGUGGACUUGAUUUUAAAAGGGAAAUAUGUUACUGUACAGUACAGUACUACUGAAGUCGUAUAUUAGAUAACUGUUGUGUAAAAAAAGACGUGUUGCACUUAUUGUUGAAAUGACUAGGUCAUUUGUGUACUAAAGUUUAAGCUGAGCUCGCUACUCCAAAGCCUUAAAUGGAAUGCAAAAUUUUUGAAUAAUUUUUAAUUAAUGUACAGUAUUUAGCUGAAUACAAUAUUAAAAUUAGUUUUUCACAUUUAUAAUGUUCAAAGAUUUAUAUUUAUUGAUCCAGAUAUUUGUCUAAAGUAUGUACCAUACUGAUAAUUGUUCACACAUUUCAAUUAGUUUAUAAUGUAAUAUAGGUAUAUUUUAUUUUUAUAUUUGUAUGUGAAGAUUUCUUGACCAGUGUUGCCCCCAAAAUAUUACCCUGGGAGAAGUAAACAGUUGUCUCCUCUCUCAUCUUCUCCCACGUAAACACUUCCUUGUACGAGUGCAAUUUUGUUUAUGAUCCCACUUCUUCCCAAUUUAUUUGCAGUAAUCUUGCAAGGUAGUGGUAGCCAUUUUACUUUGGGUCUGUGAACCCAAAAUUAACUAACGCUCUUGUUAGCUGGAAAUUUAUAUUUUAUUGUGUUCUACUGUAUAUAAAUUGUUUCCUUAAUAUCUUUAUGUAAUUAUUGAAAAGUCAGUUUGUGUUAUUGGUAACUAGAUAUCAGUUUAUAUGUAUAUAUAUUUGUUUAUAUUGAAUAAUGUUUAUAACACAAACUAUUCAGUUUAUAUUGUAUAUUUUUGGUAUAUCUGACUCGUACAGCCCCAGCCUCAAGGGCUAGAUACAAUGCUUCCUUGUGAGAAACUUCAACAUUUAGUUAUUAAAGACGAUUUAUGAGCAUGUCAUUUUUGUGCACUAGUAAAGGUGAUUGGUUCUAAAACUCAGUUCGGUAUGUUUUAACAAUUUUGUUUUUUAAACCAAUAGAAAGACAAAAUUUAUUGUUGCUAUAAACUUAUUUUUGAUAAAAUGUGACUGGCAAAUUUGUCCUCAUGUCGUGUAACAACAUGAUCAUUUCAGAUAUAAAAUGACAAUUUUUGUUAUUUAAUAUAGAUAGAAAAUUUGGGCAUUUGUCUGUCUAGAAGUUAUAUUUUAACAUUAAAUUUUAACAUAGCAUUUAUGUUAGUAAUUAUUAAAUUGAAUAGAAAUGGAUUGUAAAUCAAAUGUAUCUUUUGAUUGUUACCUGCAACUUGGGUGUUAAUUAUAUCAUAAUGGUGAUUAGCGGAUGCGUGUGUCCGUAUGCUGUUUACCUCAUUGCCAUGUGUUAUUAUGCACAUACAUCAAGUUAAUCAUAUGUAUCUUGCUCUUUUGUAAUAAUAAAGCUAAGGUCAGUUCUCAUUUUCUCAA